UUGGUUCUCAACUUGGAAUUCACCAAGAAGAGUGAAAAGGGAAUUCGGUGUAACUCCGAUACUGUUCCCGCAGCUGUAAGGUUCUAUAAAGGCUUUUGUCUACAGUCACUUCCGAGAAAAGGAGGGAAGAUGCAAAAGUGAACCGAGUCAGAAGACCUGCCACCGGCUA
rnacentral:ncRNA from 1 species